GACAGAGGGUGCAAACGUUGUUCGGAAUUACUGGGCGUAAAGCGUGUGUAGGCGGCCAUAUAAGUCGGAUGUGAAAGCCCUGGGCUCAACCCAGGAAGUGCACUCGAUACUGUAUGGCUUGAGUACUGGAGAGGUUGGUGGAAUUCCUGGUGUAGCGGUGAAAUGCGCAGAUAUCAGGAGGAACACCGGUGGCGAAGGCGGGUCUCUGGGCCGUAACUGACGCUGAGGAGGGAAAGCGUGGGGAGCGAACAGG
rnacentral:rRNA from 1 species